AGCCUGGACGGCACCUUCCCCACGCUGUGUGGUCAGGAGAUGCCCUCUGAGCGAGGCUCACUUAGGUUGGUUUUAACUCUAUAAACAACAGCCAGAUUAAGUGGAUUGUGUUCUUAUUUAAAGAAAUAGUAUUCUCAACUAUAAGAAUUUUGAUAAAUCCAAAUUUGAGAAAUUCCAAGAUUUUUUUUUUUUUUUUUUUUUAGCAAAAACGGGCUUUACUCUAUACAUUCCCAUAAAGAUGAGCUUAUUUCAUUUUUCUUUUUAGAUGGGUUCAUAUUUUUGUUACCAAAAUAACUUGUUCCCCUCUUUUAGCCACUCUCCCCGAGACGCUGGCUUUAGCUAGUACGUGGGAGGUGAAGGCCGGGGACCAAGGAGGCGCUACACGUGAGCCUGAGUGCGGGGUGCUCAGAGGAGAGUCUGGAGGGACACGGGGCUGCCAGACAGGAAUCUCGUUACCACACUUCCUAUCAAGGAAGCAGACAGGGAGGAGGAGAGGGCACUUGGGAACGUUUUUCCUUUUUUCUCUUUUCAUAGGGGGUAAUGCUGGCAGAGAAACAGAAAAGGCAGAAGCUUGAAAACAUGGCCUAUGGGCACGUUUUAGGGAAACACUGUCAUCAACAGUUCGGGCCUCCAGGUUUCCUAGCAGGAACUGCACUAGAGACCAUUUGUCAGCAGGAGGGGGUCUCUCUGCCACCAGGAGUGCCACCAGGAAUGUCAGAGUCACAAAGCACAGUUGGGUGUAUGCCAUGGUUCCCAACCUCCAUGUUGGAGGAGGACUGGGUUUGGUGGCCGCCCCAACCCUGUCCUUUUCUGUCCCCACCAUGCAGCCCCUGGGUCUCUGCCCUCUCACUAGAUCUGGAAAAUGGGCCAUUUCCAUAGGUCACUCCCACAGGACGCAACUCACUGGUCCUCAGUCCACAGAAAACCUGUGGGGCCUGCUGUGCUGGGCUUUGCUUUCCAAUUCCUCUUCCCUACAUCCUCCAUGGGACCUCCUGUUGCCAUGGAUUUUUGAACACGAUCGCAGAGAGAGCAUCACUGCCAUUCGGUCUGCCCAAGACCCUGCAGCCGAGACUCUCCAGCCAAGGGACUGCCCUCCCUUCCUGUCAUUAGGGCCACACUAUCCUUUCUAAAUCAUUUUGCUAGUUUCCUCAUGGUUUCUGAAUUAGGGUCAAGCGUCCGACACUCACCACACGUGGCUGCCCACAAUGUCGGUUUUCACGUGUGUCUGUUUUCUCCCCACCCCCUUCUUUUAGAUUGUCCCAUUCCUGUCCUUCUAGCCACCUACGAAGUCCACAGAGCCUCCCUUCCUCUCUUCUGUCAGAUUCUUUGCAGAAGGAAAGAAAGUCAUUUCCCCUGGCAGAGCCAUUCUGCACUUCUCACUGAUGACUCAACCUCCCUGGCCUCAGUUUCUUCAUUUGUCGACAAAAUGCCUCCAUGGUCACUGUGUUUCAGCUGUUUAAAAAACAAAACAAACAAAACCAGUUUUCUGUGAAAGAGGCGGGUUUGGCCUUAAGGCUUCCCAUGUGUGCCACUUCCUAAUAGGGAUCCCGGCGGGGCCAGCUCUAUGCCAUCAGGCAUUUUCACUGGUAGCGGAUCAAGUCUGCAUCUGGAUGUGACCACGGGUUGCAAGAACGUGGAUUUCUGCGCCAUGGGAAAACCGAGCACUUUCACAAUGGGAAUGAUGGGAGGUUAUCAGACACUGAGAUUACUUUUGCAAACGGAGCUUUCCGUGCAAAGGAAAUUAAGCUCUAUUGUGCAUCAGGCUUUCGUCAGGGGCUCCCCCUUCUUCUCUGCAUAAACCCUGUGAAAAGCUCCGUCUGUGUCUGUCUGUUGGGCAGCGCCGGGCUAACACCCGGGGAAGGAGGGCUGGGCUGACGGCACUUGCUCAGUGCGACCCUGUGCUGCAGACUAUCACAUGCUCUAGUGGGCUUACAAGGCGACAAUCAGGAGGUGGCACAUUAGGUCUGAUCAAGGAUCAAAGUACAAAUUUAGGGCGGACAGAUACUGAUCAAAGAGUGCAGGCGAAAAUAAAGGAGUGACUCUGAGAAGACCCACUAAUGUCCAGUUCUCUUUCUCUGGCCUUCUUUGACCAGCUAACCUCGGGGCAGCUGUUUUUAUUAUGCCCACCGUAUGAAUAAGUACAGAAAUGACUGCGACUCAGGGGCCAUCAUACAGAAAGAUCAUUUGAAGCUGGUCAUGCAGUAUUAUGAAGAACUCCUUUGUCUCAGAAAAAGAGAAGCGAGGAAGAGCAUGCGGGUGUCCACCGGGAAGGCCGUGGAAACACUGAGCUGAGAACGAAUGGCAGCAGAACACGGGACUCAUCACUGGCAGGUGAUGGGAUAUAGUCCCGAAAGCCAGGCAGCUGUCACUUACUAAAAGAUUUGAAAGUGCUUCAAAUGCAUGGAUAAAUGUGAUGUGCUUAAGAGAAGGCUCCUGCUCGCUAGAUCCUGCCACAUUCACAAAGCAGGUUUUCAGCUGCGAGCCAGGGCACGGAAUGGUCAGGACAGUCUGCCUAGAAACGUACUGGAACGCGGUGUUUCAACCAACCACAGUGUCAAUUUCCCAGAACAACUCUGAGGACAGAGGCUCUCUUGUGGCUGGGACGAUCCGUGCUAUAUUUAUGUGUGGAGAUGAUGGAAUAGAGUUAAAAGGCUUUGCGGGUUAUCGGUCAAACUAAAAAAAUCUUGUUUUAAAA